GACGAACGCUGGCGGCGUGCCUAAUACAUGCAAGUUGAGCGCUGAAGGUUGGUACUUGUACCAACUGGAUGAGCAGCGAACGGGUGAGUAACGCGUGGGGAAUCUGCCUUUGAGCGGGGGACAACAUUUGGAAACGAAUGCUAAUACCGCAUAAAAACUUUAAACACAAGUUUUAAGUUUGAAAGAUGCAAUUGCAUCACUCAAAGAUGAUCCCGCGUUGUAUUAGCUAGUUGGUGAGGUAAAGGCUCACCAAGGCGAUGAUACAUAGCCGACCUGAGAGGGUGAUCGGCCACAUUGGGACUGAGACACGGCCCAAACUCCUACGGGAGGCAGCAGUAGGGAAGCUUCGGCAAUGGACGAAAGGCUGACCGAGCAACGCCGCGUGAGUGAAGAAGGUUUUCGGAUCGUAAAACUCUGUUGGUAGAGAAGAACGUUGGUGAGAGUGGAAAGCUCAUCAAGUGACGGUAACUACCCAGAAAGGGACGGCUAACUACGUG
rnacentral:rRNA from 1 species